rnacentral:rRNA from 1 species
CCUACGGGCGGCUGCAGUGGGGAAUAUUGGACAAUGGGGGGAACCCUGAUCCAGCCAUGCCGCGUGUGUGAAGAAGGCCCUCGGGUUGUAAAGCACUUUCAGUGAGGAAGAACGCCUGGUGGUUAAUACCCAUCAGGAAAGACAUCACUCACAGAAGAAGCACCGGCUAACUCCGUGCCAGCAGCCGCGGUAAUACGGAGGGUGCGAGCGUUAAUCGGAAUUACUGGGCGUAAAGCGCGCGUAGGUGGCUUGAUAAGCCGGUUGUGAAAGCCCCGGGCUCAACCUGGGAACGGCAUCCGGAACUGUCAAGCUAGAGUGCAGGAGAGGAAGGUAGAAUUCCCGGUGUAGCGGUGAAAUGCGUAGAGAUCGGGAGGAAUACCAGUGGCGAAGGCGGCCUUCUGGACUGACACUGACGCUGAGGUGCGAAAGCGUGGGUAGCAAACAGGAUUAGAUACCCGUGUAGUC